GUGUAUAUUACUUAGGGGGAGCUGGGGGUUAAAGUGAUAAUCCUCAUAAAAUUUCCUUAUACUACAGUUUCCAAAUCGCUGUCCUAGCCCUUUAAAAGUUGGAAUUCAGGUUAUUUUCCUUAUAGGUCAAGUGAGAAAGAAUUUACUUUAGGGACUUCCCGGGUCACACUUACAAAAGAGGCGUACUUAAAAGUAAAUUUUUAAGUAAAGUUGAAAUUUGAUACAGGGACAAAUCGCUCGGUAACUCUGAAAAGAGUAAGCCGCAACAAGGUAAGAGUACUGGAAGGUGUUCU
rnacentral:rRNA from 1 species